UACGUAGGGUGCAAGCGUUAAUCGGAAUUACUGGGCGUAAAGCGUGCGCAGGCGGUGAUGUAAGACAGAUGUGAAAUCCCCGGGCUCAACCUGGGAACUGCAUUUGUGACUGCAUCGCUGGAGUGCGGCAGAGGGUGAUGGAAUUCCGCGUGUAGCAGUGAAAUGCGUAGAUAUGCGGAGGAACACCGAUGGCGAAGGCAAUCCCCUGGGCCUGCACUGACGCUCAUGCACGAAAGCGUGGGGAGCAAACAGG
rnacentral:rRNA from 1 species